UACGUAGGGAGCAAGCGUUGUCCGGAAUCAUUAGGCGUAAAGAGCGCGUAGGCGGUCCGGUAAGUCGGUUGUGAAAACUGGGGGCUCAACCCUCAGACGCCGACCGAUACUGUCGGGCUAGAGUCCGGAAGAGGCGAGUGGAAUUCCUGGCGUAGCGGUGAAAUGCGCAGAUAUCAGGAGGAACACCAAUGGCGAAGGCAGCUCGCUGGGACGGUACUGACGCUGAGGCGCGAAAGCGUGGGGAGCAAACAGG
rnacentral:rRNA from 1 species